GGCGAACGGGUGAGUAACACGUGGGUAAUCUACCUAUGAGACGGGGAUAGCCCCGGGAAACUGGGGUUAAUACCGGAUGUGAUCCUUGGGGCGCAUGUUCCGAGGAGGAAAGGGUGCAAACCGCUCAUAGAUGAGCCCGCGGCCCAUUAGCUAGUUGGCAGGGUAAGAGCCUACCAAGGCGACGAUGGGUAGCCGGUCUGAGAGGAUGGCCGGCCACACUGGGACUGAGACACGGCCCAGACUCCUACGGGAGGCAGCAGCAAGGAAUUUUGGGCAAUGGGGGAAACCCUGACCCAGCGACGCCGCGUGAGCGAAGAAGGCCUUCGGGUCGUAAAGCUCUGUCUUUGGGGACGAAUGGGACGGUACCCAAAGAGGAAGCCCCGGCUAACUACGUGCCAGCAGCCGCGGUAAUACGUAGGGGGCGAGCGUUGUCCGGAAUUAUUGGGCGUAAAGGGCGAGUAGGCGGCUUUGCAGGUCGGGUGUGAAAAACUGAGGCUCAACCUCGGGAAUGCA
rnacentral:rRNA from 1 species